AUCGCUGUUGUUAUGUUAUCGCGAGAACUGCAAAUGACUAGAGAGCGAGCAAGGAACUAGCAGCUAACAAGAAACGGACAUGUGGAAAUAAAGGAGUUGAAGUUAAACAAAGACUGUUUUAUUGAGGAACACAACAUUUUGGCGACGAGGAAACGGUUUAUCACGAACCCAGAUGCAAGAAAGGACGACUAGGAUUCUACGUCCAUACUGAGAAAAAAAAAAGUGAGAAGACACCUGUAUCGUGUUGGCCAUGUCGAACGGCGAUGGUGCCGGAGCCGCGCUGGGACAAGCUGCACCUGAACCCAGGUACGCCCAACUGAACGCGCCUGCUGCGUUGAACCUUGGGGCGUCUGAUUUAUUCACAGAAUAUAGCCUGUGGAAGGACUCCUACAGUUUUUUCGAAGUUGCCAGUGGAACUAUUAAUGCACCAGACUUAGUGAGGAGGGCCACAUUACUGCAUUGCAUUGGAGCACCUACGCAAAGAAUUUUUGCCAAUCUACCUGGAAGCAAAAAGCAUCAGGAGAGACGCCAGCCAUGCUUAUGUUUGGACGAGACAUCCGCACCAAGUGUCCAACUCUGGAGAAGGCGAGUGAAGUACCAAAAGGAAAGGAGAAAACUGUUGAUAUCAGAAGCCAUCACACGGAGUACAAAACUAAAAUGAAACAGUAUGCUGACCAGCACAACAGAGCAAAGGAGCACAACUUUAAAGUUGGUGAUGUUGUUUACAUUGCUAGUAUGGAGAACGGAAAGCUGGAUUCUACUUUUAAAGAUGUCAGAUAUGUUCUUUUGAGAAACACAGCCGACAAUUCUUUUGAGCUGGUCAAUACAGAGGAUGGAUCAAAAGUGAUCAGGAAUGUCAAACAUCUACGACAUACGCCCAUUAUAAUGGACUUUGAUGUUCCUGAGCAUCCAGUGGUUCAUGCUCAAAUCAACAGUGACUCUGUGGAUGUGCCGAUUGCUAAUACCGACCAGGCAACCGAGAGACCACCUGAACCGGACCCAGCUGUAUCUGAUAUCAUCACUACCAGCAAGGGCCGAGUGAUAAGAAAGCCCAUCCGAUACAGAGAGACUUGAAAAGAGAGACUUAUAUGUGAGACAACUUGUAUUGAUGUAAAAAGAAAAAAAAUGUGUUUGUAUUCUAAACAAAGGAGGAAUAUGUAGUAUCGCUGUUGUUAUGUUAUCGCGAGAACUGCAAAUGACUAGAGAGCGAGCAAGGAACUAGCAGCUAACAAGAAACGGACAUGUGGAAAUA